AUGGAUAGUUGGCUUUAAGAACUGGCAUGGACACAUGCCAAGAACUCUGAAGAGGGAUUCUAGAAGCUAUAAAAAGAAGAAAGGAAAAGAAGGUUUUUGAACUGACAAUUGCUACCUGGCAUCUGGGGGUAUCUGGGUCCUGGUCUUGUUCAAGCUAAGGGAAGGAGAACUGCUUCUGAGAGCUUUUCUGACCGCAAGCCUUUGGUGAACAAAGGACAAUGCUUCAACCAUUCCCUGAAAUUCCUGGUCAGCAGGGGAGCAGUCUUGGAGAAGAUCUGGUUAUCCCUACUAUCUAAAUACUGGACCAGUAGGAGACAAUACAUCUAGUCAUGAGCAGAGGACCCAGAGAUACAGAAAGAUAGCCACUUAAGGGACAAAAGCAGCUUCAGGGAACAUGGACUCUGGUGGUAAAAUAUAAGAAGUGUCAGCUAUUGGCUCUACAAAGACAUUGACCUUUGGGGAUCGACAGAGCUACAUCUAAGAGUAACUUCCUGAGGACUCCACAAAGAGACCAGGAGUUGAAAGUUAUUCAGCCAUGUGUCCUCUUCACAUGAACCUUAAUACAUUUUAAACUUUAAAUCUGUGUCUACUUUCUCUACACAUCCUGUAUGAAUUGGUGGAAGAACACACCACAGGCUCUGGGGAGGAUGUUUUAUAUGAAUUGUUUAUACCAUCCUAGUAAAUAUGUUUGCUGAGAACUAACUGAGGCUAAUGAAUGACAAUCAGUGGGAAAUAAGCCAGCAAGGGCUUGUGAACAACAGUAUUAGAAACCCAGGCCCUUAGAUUUUCUCAUAGAUUCCUGAGGCUGAGGAGCAGUCACUCUCUGGGGACCUUGGCCACAAACAUGAGCAGGAGUUAGGGAAAUGAUCCUGGAGGGGGAGCUAUACUUAAUCUACACCAACUAUGAUUAAAAUCAUUAGUGUCAUGACUAAUAAUUCACCCAACAAAUAUUUGUCAAUUUCCUACUCUGUGCAGAGAUGGUACUAGUUAUUUGGGGGAGAUAACACCAUUUAGACAAGACAUUGUCUCAUCUCCUGUGGAAAUCAUGGUCACUGGAAUAUGAAGAUAAUACUAAUAACCCACCAUCAAUAGAAUACUGCUAUUAUUUUUCCAUUCCACUGAGUCUAGCUACACUGUUAUUAUAUCCUCUUAUGGCCAGUGGCAUACAUUCUCAGAGCAGUAGUUUAGGGUUAGUGAUUUACAAACUUCAACCAGGCUGAAUAAUACAUAUCUUGAAGUCUGAUAGGAUAGAUGGGGUUCGAAUUCUCUUUCCAUCCCUGCUUGUGGAGGCUUCUCUCCUAAGGAUGGGUGGUAAGUACAAAUUUAU
rnacentral:lncRNA from 1 species